GGUGUUAUGGCUCAGCGGUAGAGCGCUCGCCUCGUAUGUGCGAGGCCCUGAGUUUGAUCCUCAGCACCA
rnacentral:tRNA from 1 species